rnacentral:ncRNA from 1 species
CUACGACAGAUUCACUUUGGUCCGGGUGCGAAAGCCCCCGGUUAAAAUGGGAACGCGGUGCGCGGCCUUCGGGCGGCAACUCCGCGACUGCCCCCGCAACUGUAAGCGGCGAGCAAUGUCGGAAUAUGCCACUGUGGUGCAAACCACGGGAAGGCCCGGCAAAGCAGCGACCCGCAAGUCAGGAGACCUGCCAAAGUGUUCACCCUAUCC